rnacentral:rRNA from 1 species
UACGUAGGGGGCACGCGUUGUCCGGAUUCAUUGGGCGUAAAGAGCGUGUAGGCGGCCAGGUAGGUCGGUUGUGAAAACUGGAGGCUCAACCUUCAGAGGUCGACCGAAACCAUCUGGCUAGAGUCCGGGAGAGGAGAGUGGAAUUCCUGGUGUAGCGGUGAAGUGCGCAGAUAUCAGGAAGAACACCCGUGGCGAAAGCGGCUCUCUGGAACGGUACUGACGCUGAGACGCGAAAGCGUGGGGAGCGAACAGG